rnacentral:rRNA from 1 species
GAUGAACGCUGGCGGCGUGCUUUAACACAUGCAAGUCGAACGAAGAUGCCGGAGUGCUUGCACUUUGGCAGACUGAGUGGCGGACGGGUGAGUAACGCGUGGGUAACCUGCCUUAUACAGGGGGAUAACAGUUGGAAACGACUGCUAAUACCGCAUAAGCGCACGGUAUCGCAUGAUACAGUGUGAAAAACUCCGGUGGUAUAAGAUGGACCCGCGUCUGAUUAGCUAGUUGGUGAGGUAACGGCCCACCAAGUCGACGAUCAGUAGCCGGACUGAGAGGUUGAACGGCCACAUUGGGACUGAGAUACGGCCCAGACUCCUACGGGAGGCAGCAGUCGGGAAUAUUGCGCAAUGGAGGAAACUCUGACGCAGUGACGCCGCGUAUAGGAAGAAGGUUUUCGGAUUGUAAACUAUUGUCGUUAGGGAAGAUACAAGACAGUACCUAAGGAGGAAGCUCCGGCUAACUACGUG